UACGGGGGGGAGCAAGCGUUGUUCGGAUUUACUGGGCGUAAAGGGCGCGUAGGCGGCCAGCACAAGUCAGUUGUGAAAUCUCCGGGCUUAACUCGGAAAGGUCAACUGAUACUGUGCGGCUAGAGUGCAGAAGGGGCAACUGGAAUUCUCGGUGUAGCGGUGAAAUGCGUAGAUAUCGAGAGGAACACCUGCGGCGAAGGCGGGUUGCUGGGCUGACACUGACGCUGAUGCGCGAAAGCUAGGGGAGCGAACGGG
rnacentral:rRNA from 1 species